rnacentral:rRNA from 1 species
GAUGAACGCUAGCUACAGGCUUAACACAUGCAAGUCGAGGGGAAACGACAUCGAAAGCUUGCUUUUGAUGGGCGUCGACCGGCGCACGGGUGAGUAACGCGUAUCCAACCUGCCCAUCACUUGGGGAUAACCUUGCGAAAGUAAGACUAAUACCCGAUGAUAUCCCUAGAAGACAUCUGAAAGGGAUUAAAGAUUUAUCGGUGAUGGAUGGGGAUGCGUCUGAUUAGCUUGUUGGCGGGGUAACGGCCCACCAAGGCGACGAUCAGUAGGGGUUCUGAGAGGAAGGUCCCCCACAUUGGAACUGAGACACGGUCCAAACUCCUACGGGAGGCAGCAGUGAGGAAUAUUGGUCAAUGGGCGAGAGCCUGAACCAGCCAAGUAGCGUGCAGGAUGACGGCCCUAUGGGUUGUAAACUGCUUUUAUAAGGGAUAAAGUUAGUCUCGUGAGACUUUUUGCAUGUACCUUAUGAAUAAGGACCGGCUAAUUCCGUG